CGCCACUGACAUUGGGUGGAGAAACCUUGUUGGUGGUGGUGUUCUUAUAUCAGCCAUUGGCAGAGCACAUGGCAGUCCUUUGUUCAUCCUAGCUUGAUGCCUCAUUGGUGCCCAAAGCUGUUUUAUGCCCAGGACUCACAA